UUUUACCGUGAAACUGCGAAUGGCUCAUUAUAUCAGUACUAAUUUAUUUGAUAGUCCCUUACUACUUGGAUAACCGUAGUAAUUCUAGAGCUAAUACAUGCACUACAGUCCCUGACGCUUGCGGAGGGGAUGUAUUUAUUAGAUCGAAGCCAAUGCGGUGCUUGCGCCGGUAUUGUGGUGAGUCAUGAUAAAUUUGCGAAUCGCAUGCCUUCUGGGCGGCGAUGUUUCAUUCAAGUUUCUGCCCUAUCAGCUUUGGAUGGUAGGGUAUUGGCCUACCAUGGCUUUAACGGGUAACGGGGAAUUGGGGUUCGAUUCCGGAGAGGGAGCCUGAGAAAUGGCUACCACAUCCCAAGGAAGGCAGCAGGCGCGUAAAUUACCCAAUCCUGACUCAGGGAGGUAGUGACAAUAAAUAACAAUGCCGGGCUUUUCAAGUCUGGCAAUUGGAAUGAGAACAAUUUAAAUCCCUUAUCGAGGAUCAAUUGGAGGGCAAGUCUGGUGCCAGCAGCCGCGGUAAUUCCAGCUCCAAUAGCGUAUAUUAAAGUUGUUGCAGUUAAAAAGCUCGUAGUUGGAUUUCUGGGGCGUCGGAUGGGCCCUCGCCUCACGGCGUGUGUGUCCCGACUCUGAAUGCCCCAUCCUCGGGUGGGUCCCUCUUGGCAUUAGGUUGUUGGGGGGGGGAAGCCCGUCGUUUACUGUGAAAAAAUUAGAGUGUUCAAAGCAGGCUUAGGCCGUUGGAUACAUUAGCAUGGAAUAAUGAGAUAGGGCCUUGAUGUUUUAUUUUGUUGGUUUGCACGCCAAGGUAAUGAUUAAUAGGGAUAGUUGGGGGUAUUCGUAUUCAAUUGUCAGAGGUGAAAUUCUUGGAUUUAUGGAAGACGAACUACUGCGAAAGCAUUUACCAAGGAUGUUUUCAUUAAUCAAGAACGAAAGUUAGGGGAUCGAAGAUGAUUAGAUACCAUCGUAGUCUUAACCAUAAACUAUGCCGACUAGGGAUUGGCGGUCGUUUGUCAAUGACUCCGUCAGCACCUUUCGAGAAAUC
rnacentral:rRNA from 1 species